UAGGGAAUCUUCCACAAUGGACGAAAGUCUGAUGGAGCAAUGCCGCGUGAGUGAAGAAGGGUUUCGGCUCGUAAAACUCUGUUGUUAAAGAAGAGCACCUUUGAGAGUAACUGUUCAAGGGUUGACGGUAUUUAACCAGAAAACCACGGCUAACUACGUG
rnacentral:rRNA from 1 species